AUAAGACCGUCCCUCCCUCCUGGACGAAUUAAGGUUUAUUAAACAAUUAUUUAAAUUUAGGGCUUGGUAUAAAUUCUUUACAGAUCCAAUAAAAUGAUUGUCUGUUUCCCAUGAUGAAGAAGAUAAAGCCUGCUUAGAGUGAAAUAUAUUAAUAACAAAUUUUACUAUCACUGUUCUUUGGGAUCAAAUAAUAUUAAUCAGCGCAUAACCAAGUCCCAUGGAAAAAAGAAUAAUUAGGGUGCACCGAGCACUAUUGUUCUUUCUGGAUCAGUCUGAGGUUGAACGUUCUUUGCUUGGAAUAUCCAGAGUGCUUGAUGGGACAUCUUUUUAAUCUGCUUGCAUGAAUCUACAUCUGGUUCUCCUCGGUCAGAACGGCUCUUCUGGUGAUGGCAACAACGGUUGUCAGAGGGCUGUAUGGUGGAUCAAAG